AUUGAACGCUGGCGGCAGGCCUAACACAUGCAAGUCGAGCGGAUGAAGGGAGCUUGCUCCUGGAUUCAGCGGUGGACGGGUGAGUAAUGCCUAGGAAUCUGCCUGGUAGUGGGGGAUAACGUCCGGAAACGGGCGCUAAUACCGCAUACGUCCUGAGGGAGAAAGAUGGGGAUCUUCGGACCUCACGCUAUCAGAUGAGCCUAGGGCGGAUUAGCUAGUUGGUGGGGUAAAGGCCUACCAAGGCGACGAUCCGUAACUGGUCUGAGAGGAUGAUCAGUCACACUGGAACUGAGACACGGUCCAGACUCCUACGGGAGGCAGCAGUGGGGAAUAUUGGACAAUGGGCGAAAGCCUGAUCCAGCCAUGCCGCGUGUGUGAAGAAGGUCUUCGGAUGGUAAAGCACUUUAAGUUGGGAGGAAGGGCAGUAAGUUAAUACCUUGCUGUUUUGACGUUACCAACAGAAUAAGCACCGGCUAACUUCGUG
rnacentral:rRNA from 1 species